UACGUAGGUGGCGAGCGUUAUCCGGAAUGAUUGGGCGUAAAGGGUGCGUAGGCGGCACGGCAAGCCGGCGGUCAAAUCGCGGGGCUCAACCCCGCCCAGCCGUCGGAACUGCCGGGCUAGAGUGGGCGAGAAGUGCGCGGAAUGCGUGGUGUAGCGGUGAAAUGCAUAGAUAUCACGCAGAACUCCGAUUGCGAAGGCAGCGCACCGGCGCCCUACUGACGCUCAGGCACGAAAGCGUGGGUAUCGAACAGG
rnacentral:rRNA from 1 species